GUCCUCUCAGGAUGGCAUCUGGAGAGUUUUCAGUCCUCUACCAGUCUCGGCUGUGGGAGGGUGAGUCAAGGAGAGACCCGUCCAUUCCAUUCCUAGCUUGGCCAGUGGCUAGUGAGUGGAAGGCAAUCUGCUACAAGU